rnacentral:rRNA from 1 species
CGUUGCUCGGAAUUAUUGGGCGUAAAGCGCACGUAGGCGGCUCUGUAAGUCGGAUGUGAAAUCCCUCGGCUUAACCGAGGACGUGCAUCCGAAACUGCGGAGCUCGAGUAUGGAAGAGGGUCGCAGAAUUCCCGGUGUAGAGGUGAAAUUCGUAGAUAUCGGGAGGAAUACCAGUGGCGAAGGCGGCGACCUGGGCCAAUACUGACGCUGAGGUGCGAAAGCGUGGGGAGCAAACAGG